rnacentral:rRNA from 1 species
UAGGGAAUCUUCGGCAAUGGACGAAAGUCUGACCGAGCAACGCCGCGUGAGUGAAGAAGGUUUUCGGAUCGUAAAACUCUGUUGUUAGAGAAGAACAAGGACGUUAGUAACUGAACGUCCCCUGACGGUAUCUAACCAGAAAGCCACGGCUAACUACGUGCCAGCAGCCGCGGUAAUACGUAGGUGGCAAGCGUUGUCCGGAUUUAUUGGGCGUAAAGCGAGCGCAGGCGGUUUCUUAAGUCUGAUGUGAAAGCCCCCGGCACAACCGGGGAGGGUCAUUGGAAACUGGGAGACUUGAGUGCAGAAGAGGAGAGUGGAAUUCCAUGUGUAGCGGUGAAAUGCGUAGAUAUAUGGAGGAACACCAGUGGCGAAUGGGGCUCUCUGGUCUGUAACUAACGCUGAGGCUCGAAAGCGUAGGGAGCAAACAGG